CACGGCCCACCCCCAGCCCCCAUCAGGGGCUUUCACACCACUCGCUCCAUCAUCCAGCACUACACCUCCCAUGAUGCACCGCUGAUGCCUGCAGAAAUGCAUGAAACUGAUGGCAAACCCCACCCUAGCUGAGGCUACAGUCUGCAGGGCUCCACAGGGAGCUGUAAUGAACGUACGGCGGAUUUACGGCCUGCCAUCUCUCGGGCCCAGACGCUGUCCGAAGAGGUAAUCUGUUCUGGCC